rnacentral:rRNA from 1 species
UACGUAGGGACCGAGCGUUGUCCGGAAUCAUUGGGCGUAAAGAGCGUGUAGGCGGCUUGUCACGUCGGGUGUGAAAGCCCGGGGCUUAACCCCGGGUCUGCAUUCGAUACGGGCUAGCUAGAGUGUGGUAGGGGAGAUCGAAUUCCUGGUGUAGCGGUGAAAAUGCGCAGAUAUCAGGAGGAACACCGGUGGCGAAGGCGGAUCUCUGGGCCAUUACUGACGCUGAGGUGCGAAAGCUAGGGGAGCAAACGGG